UACGAAGGGGGCUAGCGUUGCUCGGAAUUACUGGGCGUAAAGCGCACGUAGGCGGAUUGUUAAGUCGGGGGUGAAAUCCUGGAGCUCAACUCCGGAACUGCCUUCGAUACUGACGAUCUUGAGUCCGGGAGAGGUGAGUGGAACUGCGAGUGUAGAGGUGAAAUUCGUAGAUAUUCGCAAGAACACCAGUGGCGAAGGCGGCUCACUGGCCCGGUACUGACGCUGAGGGGCGAAAGCGUGGGGAGCAAACAGG
rnacentral:rRNA from 1 species